GAUGAACGCUGGCGGCGUGCUUAACACAUGCAAGUCGAACGAUGAAGCCCAGCUUGCUGGGUGGAUUAGUGGCGAACGGGUGAGUAACACGUGAGUAACCUGCCCUUAACUCUGGGAUAAGCCUGGGAAACUGGGUCUAAUACCGGAUAGGAGCGCCUACCGCAUGGUGGGUGUUGGAAAGAUUUAUCGGUUUUGGAUGGACUCGCGGCCUAUCAGCUUGUUGGUGAGGUAAUGGCUCACCAAGGCGACGACGGGUAGCCGGCCUGAGAGGGUGACCGGCCACACUGGGACUGAGACACGGCCCAGACUCCUACGGGAGGCAGCAGUGGGGAAUAUUGCACAAUGGGCGAAAGCCUGAUGCAGCGACGCCGCGUGAGGGAUGACGGCCUUCGGGUUGUAAACCUCUUUCAGUAGGGAAGAGGCGAAAGUGACGGUACCUGCAGAAGAAGCACCGGCUAACUACGU
rnacentral:rRNA from 1 species